rnacentral:rRNA from 1 species
ACUACGGGUGGCAGCAGUGGGGGAUAUUGCACAAUGGGGGAAACCCUGAUGCAGCGACGCCGCGUGUGGGAAGACGGUCUUCUGGAUUGUAAACCACUGUCCCCAGGGACGAAAAUGACGGUACCUGGGGAGGAAGCUCCGGCUAACUACGUGCCAGCAGCCGCGGUAAUACGUAGGGAGCAAGCGUUGACCGGAAUUACUGGGUGUAAAGAGAGCGUAGGCGGGGAUGCAAGUUGGGUGUCAAAACUACCGGCUGAACCGAUAGUCGCACACAAAAAUGCAGGACUUGAGUUAAGUAGAGGCAGGCGGAAGUCCUAGUGUAGCGGUGAAAUGCGUAGAUAUUAGGAGGAACACCAGUGGCGAAGGCGGCCUGCUGGGCUUUUACUGACGCUGAGGCUCGAAAGUGUGGGGAGCAAACAGGAUUAGAUACCCCUGUAGUC